AAAUAAUUUCUUCAAAAACACAUUUUUUAAAUUUACGAAACCAGUAAAUUGGUUUCCAAAAAAUUAAAAAAAUUAUAAAUACAUAUGUAUGUACAUAAAUGGAUCUUUUGAAAAGUUUUGAAACAGUUUUCUUAACGGAAAUAUAAUGUAUCUACAUAAAUCAAAUCCCCAAAAACUAUGUUUGAUGAAAACCAGCUUCAAUUCAAUUGGACUCAAGAUCUGUAUUAACAGAGGAAUAGAAAGAAACAGAGAAGAAAAAAAGACGAUGUAAAAUUAAAGAAAACUUUCACCAAAAGUCAACGAGCCUUAAAAUGAAAAAAUAAAGAAGAAAAAGGGAACAUUGCCAAAAAAGAAAAAAAAAAAAGCU